CUGGUUGCCGAAUCCAAGUUAGUGAAUUCGCUUUGUUUGCUUAACCUUCUAACUGUCAGUGUAGUGCAGUCAGUGCUCAGUAGUGUCAACAACAAGAGAAAAAAGUUGUUUUCAGAAGAAUUCUUAAACUGGACUGCUGAUUAAACUGGAAAACUAUUUCUAGCAACAUCUAGCAAAUUCUUUGAAUCAUGACAGCAGAAGAAACCCUUCGGAGGCCGAGUAUACCUGCCAAGUCGUCAAAGAAUCUGGACCAUUUGUCAAAUUUCAGCUAGAGUGGCACUUGCCAAAGCACAGUACAAAUCGCAUGCAUGAUAUACUCAACAAGCCAGGAGCUAUCAACACCCUUCACCUGACAAUCCCAAAGUUACAGGAGUCUGAUAGUGGAAAGUACCGUUGUGUUGCCAGAGGUCUAUUACUACCAUCAAAAUUUUUAAAAUGAUUUCAUCUGUUUCCAAAAAUACUCUUCAUCUUUCAUCAGCACAGAGACUUUGGUUACCGAGACUUUUUGUUGGGAAAUCAUUUGUUAGAUUUUUGGGUGGACCAUCUAUUAUUCAAAAACCUAUUGCUCAGCCAAUUAAUUUGGCAAAUGAACCUAUUUUAGGUUAUUUGAAAAGCAUCGAAGAAAGAGUUGCCUUGGAAAAUGCAUUACAACAUAGGCAAUCUGCUGUUGAAGAAAUUCCAAUUGUUAUUGAUGGCAAAGAAUAUUGGACUGAUGAUGUUCAUUUAUCAGACAAUGCCCUCUAACCAUCAGAAAAAGAUCGCGAUAUUCUGCUAUGCUUCUCCCGAACUACUACAAAAAGCUUUUGGCGUUUCAUUGAAAGCCAGAAGCGCGUGGUAGAAGGUUCCUUUGAAUAAAAAAGUUUAUAUUUUUUUUAAAGCCGGAGAUUUGGUUUCCACAAAAUAUCGUAGUCAACUCAAUGCAUCUACCAUGCUGGGACAAGGCAAAACAGUUUAUCAAGCUGAAAUUGAUGCAGCUUGUGAAUUAGCGGAUUUUUUGCGAUUUAUUGCAGAGUUUGCUCAACGAUUGUAUGAUUAUCAACCAGUAAACGUUGUUCCUUCGAUACAAAAUUCGGUUCGACAUAGAGUGUUGGAAGGAUUUAUCGCCGCUAUUUCUCCAUUCAAUUUCACAGCCAUUGGAGGAAACCUUGCAUAUGCCCCUGCGAUUAUGGGAAAUGUUGUUCUGUGGAAACCCUCUGACACAGCAUUGUUGUCGAACUAUAUAGCAUUCCGAUUGAUGGAAGAAAGUGGAAUUCUUCCUGGCGUAGUGAAUUUCUUGCCUGCAGAGGGUCCUACUUUUGGACGAGCGAUUACCAACUCGACGCAUCUAAGCGCCAUUAAUUUCACAGGAUCUGUUCUGUAAUAUUUUUAGAUACCUGAUGGUACC